AACCUGGAAGAAGCCAGAUAACCCAGAAGUAAUGGAAGAUCACAGAAUUCAGAGAGGGGGCAGAACCUAAGCUGGAUCCUAAGGGAGAGAGGGUCCCAGGGCACAGAUGCAGCUGGAUGUUUGACAACAGCUCACCCCACAAGCACCCGUGAAGGAGUUACUACAUCUGAGCAUAACAUGCAGUGUUGAAGAGGAGCAGAGGUGAUGUCACACUGAGUUAUGUGAAGUAACUUACAACAGCCUCCUGUUCAAAUCCCAGACAGCGAUAAUCAAGGUACUGGGGAUUGAAACCAGAACCUUGUGCAUGCUGGGAAAGUGCUCCACCACAGUGUAGCUACCACUGAGCUACACCCCCAGCCUAUCUGUGCUGUUCCUUCUUCAACAACCUACCUCCAAACCCCUUUAAGAGGGCCACUAUGAACAGCUUGGACAGUAUUUGACACAUUUCCUUCUUCAUUCUCUGGCCUAACACAAGGCUUCCCAGGAUCUGGGGAAUAUAAGUAGGUGACUAUCUGCUCGAUGUUGGAUAAAUGACACGAGGAUAUAUCUCUGCAAUGAAAAAGGGUGCUUGCAAGGGUUGAAUUGUAACCCACUCACCUUCUCAGUGAUGUAUACACAUUCUAAUCUCCAGAACCUGUGGAUUUGGCUUCUUUGCAAAUGUAAAGCAAACAAAAAGACACCUUGUUUUGCAAAAAUGUAAAACAAAAGCUCUUUGCAAAUGUAAUUAAUGAUGAUCUCAAGAUGAGCCUAUACAUGUGGGUACUAAAUCCAAUCACCAUGGUCCUCUUCGGGGAAACACAGAGGAAAGACAUGGAGAGAAGAGAGAGACACCCCGGGGAGAUAGAAGUAGAGACCAGUAGAGUGAUGCAGCCUGAAUCCAAGGGAUGCCUGGAAUCACCAGAAGCUGGGAGAGGCAGGAGGAAUUCUCCCCAGGGCCUUCCAAGGAAAAGUCGCCCUUGAUUAAAGACUUCUGUCUCUAGAACUUUGAAAGAAUCAACUUCAACUGUUUUAAGCCAUAAAGUUUGUGGAAUUUGUUGUGUGAGCCCUAGGAAUCUCAUAUGGAGCAGAAGUUAGUCACUCUGUCUGGAAACCCACCCUUGGAAGCCAGCCUCUCCCCCAAGCUCUCCGAGGCUCUGCCAUUCAUUCAUUUGCUUUUCAACACAAGCGCGCAGUCAGGGCUGCUCUGUGCCUGGACUGUUCUUGGUGCUGGGCAAGUAGGACUCAGCUCCGUCCAGAUGCAAGCAGAACAACAGCUACCCAACAAGGGGACAGGGGCCCAGGGCACAUGCAGCUGGAGUACAGAGGGGCCGCCUCUGCCUCUUGGCAGGGAGUUGAGUGGUUUUCUAAAUCAGAGCCACACACUCAUGGUACAGAUGUGUUCCACCAGGGGAAAUAGGCUUCCUCAGGGUGCAUGCACUUCUCAGAGUGGGGAAAGCCAUGAUUUUUCCCUACUCUGACCUUAGUCUCACUUAAAAAAAAAAAAAGCAACGUGGUGGUUUGUAAUUUAUGGGGUCUCAUGGGGAAGAAAACAAAAGGGAACUUUCUUGAAUUAGCUGGGCUGUGGCUAGUACAUGUGCAGGGUCCUCCAGCCCUGGGGUGGAGUCCUUAUGAUCUGGGCCUGGUAAAUGCUGGUGGUGGAUGGGUAGAGAUGACAGGGUGGAGCAGGACCUAUGGGAACAAGGAUGUCUCCAUCGGGGUGAACCUUGGCUAGAUGCAGAGCGAAAUUUCCCAGAUAUGAGUUUCUGUCUCCAGGUUUAUUCCCUUAUGGAACACUGAUGAACAAGAUGGCGCUGUGCAGAGGGAUCGAGGUAGGUUGGUACCAGAAGGAAAGAAGUUUCUAUCAGCAGCUGAUUAGUCCUCUGGGAAAUAAGGCACAGACCUUUACUGUGCAGAGCAAUGUCAAGGCCAGAUAGAUGUGCUUAGUACCAAAUGUAUACUGAAUAGACAGACAUGGCCAUGCCGUGUGUGGGCAGAAAAGGCAAGGCAGUCAGGGCCAGCAUGAUCCGAAGAGGCUUUCUGGGGAAUAGUGACUAGAGGUGGGUGGUAAAGAUGGGUAGGAUUUGGAUGGGAGCACACGGAGCGGGUAGUCUUCCCCUCUCCGUUCCUGUCUUCUUUAAGCCCAGGGUGGAAGAGCACCAAGCCUGAAUGCCUACCAUCAAAUGAGAUUCUCAUCUGCAGGAGGAAAUGAAAUUCGUGUUAGUUGGAACAUCAGAAAAAUCUUGGGAGACAAAAAAAAAAAAAAAGAAUCUUAAAUA